AGUGGCGAACGGGUGAGUAACACGUGAGCAACCUGCCUUAUACACAGGGAUAACAGUUGGAAACGACUGCUAAUACCGGAUAAGGCCACACUAUGGCAUCAUAGAGGGGUCAAAGCGAAUAAGCGGUAUAAGAUGGGCUCGCGUCCAAUUAGCUAGUUGGUGAGGUAACGGCCCACCAAAGGCGACGAUUGGUAGCCGACUUGAGAGAGUGAUCGGCCACACUGGAACUGAGACACGGUCCAGACUCCUACGGGAGGCAGCGAGUGGGGAAUAUUGGGCAAGUCGGAGGAAACUCUUACCCAGCCAAUGCCGCGUGAGUGAUGAAGGUCUUUGGAUUGUAAAGCUCUUUGAUUGGGGACGAAUAAAUGACGGUACCCAAAGAACAAGCCCGGCUAACUAUGUGCCAGCAGCCGC
rnacentral:rRNA from 1 species